rnacentral:rRNA from 1 species
ACAUGAAGCUGGAAUCGCUAGUAAUCGCGAAUCAGAAUGUCGCGGUGAAUACGUUCCCGGGUCUUGUACACACCGCCCGUCACACCAUGGGAGUCGGAAAUGCCCGAAGUCAAUGACCUAACCGAAAGGGAGGAGCUGCCGAAGGUGGAGCCGGUAACUGGGGUGAAGUCGUAACAAGGUAGC